rnacentral:rRNA from 1 species
UACGGAGGGUGCAAGCGUUAUCCGGAUUCACUGGGUUUAAAGGGUGCGUAGGCGGGUAUAUAAGUCAGUGGUGAAAGCUCCGGGCUUAACUUGGAAAUUGCCAUUGAUACUGUAUAUCUUGAAUAUCGUAGAGGUUAGCGGAAUGUUGCAUGUAGCGGUGAAAUGCUUAGAUAUGUUACAGAACACCAAUUGCGAAGGCAGCUAACUAUGCGAUGAUUGACGCUGAGGCACGAAAGCGUGGGGAGCGGACCGG